rnacentral:rRNA from 1 species
UUGGGCGAGGAUGGUUUGAGGAGACAUAUGUUGAAUUGAAUCGUUCGAGCAGCGGACGGGUGAGUAAAGCACAAGGACUUGUCCGAAAGAGAGGGACACCUGCGGGAAACCGGAGCUAAUACCUCAUAAGCCGGAAGGUGAAAAGCAGAGAUGCGCUUUUGGAGAGACUUGUGUCCUAUCAGGCAGUUGGUGAGGUGAAAGCUCACCAAACCGAAGACGGGUAGCCGGACUGAGAGGUCGACCGGCCACAUUGGAACUGAGAGACGGUCCAGACUCCUACGGGAGGCAGCAGUGGGGAAUAUUGGGCAAUGGGCGGAAGCCUGACCCAGCGACGCCGCGUGAGGGAAGACAGCCUUCGGGUUGUAAACCUCCGUUGCAGGGGAAGAAGGAAGUGACGGUACCCUGCGAGGAAGCUCCGGCUAACUACGUGCCAGCAGCCGCGGUAAUACGUAGGGAGCGAGCGUUGUCCGGAAUUACUGGGCGUAAAGGGCGCGUAGGCGGCGCUUCAAGUCGUCUGUCAAAUGGAAGGGCUUAACCCUUUUUCGCAGACGAAACUGGAGAGCUUGAGAAGCAGAGAGGCAAACAGAAUUCCUGGUGUAGCGGUGAAAUGCGUAGAUAUCAGGAAGAAUACCAGUGGCGAAGGCGGUUUGCUGGCUGCAUACUGACGCUGAAGCGCGAAAGCCAGGGGAGCGAACGGGAUUAGAUACCCCGGUAGUCCUGGCAGUAAACGAUGUAUGCUGGGUG